rnacentral:rRNA from 1 species
AUGAUAGCCUACUUUGAAGAGAAAGCAAAAGCAGAUGCUGAUCUCUUCUACAGGAUAAGAUUGGAUGAUGAGGACCGUGUCAAAAACAUGUAUUGGGUGGAUGGUGCUGCAAGAAGAGCCUACAAACAUUUCGGUGAUUGCAUUUCCUUCGACGCGACAUAUCUCACAAAUAUGUACAAGAUGCCCCGCGCUCCAUUUAUAGGAAUAAAUAACCACAAUCAGUCAUUGCAGUUCGGUUGUGGACUCGUUCGGAACGAAGAUACACAUGAUUACACUUGGCUGUUCAAAACCUUCUUGGAGUGCAUGGGUGGACUUGCUCCGAUGAACAUAAUAACAGACCAAGAUUUUAGCAUGUGUGCAUGCAUAGAGGAGGUCUUUUCGUUGGCAGUGCACAGGCACUUCAGCUGGCAUAUUAUUAAGAAGGCUGAUGAGACGCUAGGAACAUUCUUUGCUGACUGUCCAGAGCUAUACAAGGCAUUCGAGUUGUCCGUGGACCACAGCUUGACGGUGGAGGAGUUUGAACAAAGCUGGACGGAUAUGAUUGAAACAUACCAAGUCCAAGACAACGAGACACUUACUAGCCUCUGGGAGAAGCGAAUGUACUGGGUGUCGGCCUACUUCAUGCAGUUCUUCUUCCCAUUUCUACAGACUACUCAACGCAACGAGGGGUUCAAUGCUGUUUUGAAGCGGUACGUGAGCCCUGGCAAUUCAUUGCUCCAGUUUGCCAAGCAGUACACAGCUUUGCAACAGAAAAUACUAGGAUCUGAGCUACAGCAAGAAGCAAACACCGCGCUCAAGCAGCCUAAAUUGCUAACAUAUUUACCGAUGGAGAGGCAGAUGAGAAAGAUAUAUACAAACAAGAUUUUUAACAAGUAA